AUCAUUAGUUAGAAAAUAGGAAAAAUAGUUAAUAGUUACUACUAAUCAACUGACUAUAGUAAAAAUUAAAAACUAAACAGCGGAUCUUGUAAUAUUGUAUCGCCGACAUGAAUAUCCGUUGUGCGAAGCCCGAUGACUUAAUGAGUAUGCAGCAUUGCAAUUUACUCUGUCUGCCUGAAAAUUAUCAAAUGAAAUACUAUUUUUAUCAUGGCCUAACAUGGCCACAACUUAGUUAUGUUGCCGAAGAUGAUAAAGGAAAUAUUGUUGGUUAUGUUCUUGCAAAAAUGGAGGAGCCAGAACCUGGUGAGGAAAGUAAACAUGGUCACAUUACCUCAUUGGCGGUGAAAAGGUCAUAUCGUCGUCUGGGAUUGGCGCAGAAGCUAAUGAAUCAAGCAUCCCAAGCGAUGGUAGAAUGCUUCGAUGCACAGUAUGUUUCUUUGCAUGUUCGUAAAAGUAAUCGUGCAGCUCUCAAUCUCUACACCGAUUCUUUAAAAUUCAAAAUAAUCGAAAUCGAACCGAAAUAUUAUGCAGAUGGUGAAGAUGCUUAUGCCAUGCGGCGUGAUCUUAGCGAAUUUUCCAAAAAAGAAAAUUCCGAUGAGAACGCACAUGAAAAUAAGGCUAGUACUGCAGACGGCGCUGACAGGGAUAAGAUUAACUACAGGCAAGCAGUGUCGCAUGAUCACAGCGGCCAUGACGGUCAUUGCUGUUGAGGUGGAGAAAUAGUAUGGUGUUCUUAUGAAAAUUGGGUAUAAUUUUAUAAUUUGUAAUCAAAGCGAAGACCAUGAAAACUAAAGAAAUUGGGAACGUAUAUCACUGUACAUACAUAUGUAACGAACUUUCACGGAACUUGUUCGAAAUAAAAGCCCAGUUAUGGCUACGGCGUUAUGGUAUGGCACCAAUAGUCGUUUACAAAUGUGCUUAUAUUUACGUUUAAUUAGAACAUAUACAUAAUUGCUACGGUUUUGGUUAAGACUAUGGUAUGGCACCACUAAUUGGACCUUAAAAGUCGAAGAGACUCAGCGCAAUCUCGCCAUUUGUAAUAAACUAGAUGGCAGGAAAGAAGUCAAGUCGAUAGUCGGCAGCAGGAGGGAGUCGAAAAAUACGUAUAUGCUCGGAUAUACUCCCAUGGGCACCGAGAGCCCCGGCCUUGGUCUUGAGAUACCUGCACCAAUGUCUUAAGGGAUUUUGGAGACGUUUCUAUACCAUUGCAGCGAGCUAGCCUGUAAAUGUCCUUCCACAAAAAAGUACUUAAAGUUGCCUCACUGCAAAACCAUACCUUGCACUUACUACCGAAGACUAUUGGUUUGGGAAACAAAGCUA